rnacentral:rRNA from 1 species
ACUGCUCAGUAACACGUGGAUAACUUACCCUUAGAACUGGGAUAACUUUGGGAAACUGAAGAUAAUACCGGAUAUUAAGCUAUGCCUGCAAUGGUUUGCUUAUGAAACGUUUUUCGCCUAAGGAUAGAUCUGCGGCUGAUUAGGUCGUUGGUGGGGUAAAGGCCCACCAAGCCGAUGAUCGGUACGGGUUGUGAGAGCAAGAGCCCGGAGAUGGAACCUGAGACAAGGUUCCAGACCCUACGGGGUGCAGCAGGCGCGAAACCUCCACAAUGUACGAAAGUGCGAUGGGGGGAUCCCAAGUGCUAUUCUUAACAGAAUAGCUUUUCAUUAGUGUAAAAAGCUUUUAGAAUAAGAGCUGGGCAAGACCGGUGCCAGCCGCCGCGGUAAUACCGGCAGCUCAAGUGGUAGCUGUUUUUAUUGGGCCUAAAGCGUUCGUAGCCGGUUUAAUAAGUCUUUGGUGAAAGCUUGUAGCUUAACUAUAAGAAUUGCUGGAGAUACUAUUAGACUUGAAGUCGGGAGAGGUUAGAGGUACUACCGGGGUAGGGGUGAAAUCCUAUAAUCCUGGGAGGACCACCUGUGGCGAAGGCGUCUAACUAGAACGAUCUUGACGGUGAGUAACGAAAGCCAGGGGCGCGAACCGGAUUAGAUACCCGGGUAGUCCUGGCCGUAAACAAUGUGGACUUGGUGUUGGAAUGGCUUCGAGUUGUUCCAGUGCCGAAGGGAAGCUGUUAAGUCCACCGCCUGGGAAGUACGGUCGCAAGACGGAAACUUAAAGGAAUUGGCGGGGGAGCAC